rnacentral:piRNA from 1 species
GACCAAAGCCCAUGGUGUCUGUGGCC